AUCGCUCAGUCGGUAAAGUGGGAGACUCUUAAUCUCAGGGCUGUGAGUUCAAGCCCCAUGUUGGAUA